rnacentral:rRNA from 1 species
UACGUAGGGGGCGAGCGUUGUCCGGAUUUAUUGGGCGUAAAGAGCUCGUAGGCGGUUCGGUGAGUCAGAUGUAAAAACUCCAGGCUCAACUUGGAGAGGCCAUCUGAUACUGCCGUGACUAGAGUCCGGUAGAGGAGCACGGAAUUCCUGGUGUAGCGGUGAAAUGCGCAGAUAUCAGGAGGAACACCAGCGGCGAAGGCGGUGCUCUGGGCCGGAACUGACGCUGAGGAGCGAAAGCGUGGGGAGCGAACAGG